UACGGAGGGUCCAAGCGUUAAUCGGAAUUACUGGGCGUAAAGCGCGCGUAGGCGGUUAAGUAAGUCGGAUGUGAAAGCCCAGGGCUCAACCCUGGAAUUGCAUUCGAUACUGCUUGACUAGAGUAUGGUAGAGGGAAGUGGAAUUUCAAGUGUAGCGGUGAAAUGCGUAGAUAUUUGAAGGAACACCAGUGGCGAAGGCGACUUCCUGGGCCAAUACUGACGCUGAGGUGCGAAAGCGUGGGGAGCGAAC
rnacentral:rRNA from 1 species